rnacentral:rRNA from 1 species
UAAGGAAUAUUGCUCAAUGGGAGAAAUCCUGAAGCAGCAACGCCGCGUGGAGGAUGAAGGGUCUAUGACUUGUAAACUCCUGUAAAGAAGGAAAAAAUUCCCAUUAGAUGGGAGAUGAUGGUACUUCUGGAGUAAGCCCCGGCUAACUACGUGCCAGCAGCCGCGGUAAUACGUAGGGGGCAAGCGUUGUCCGGAUUUACUGGGUGUAAAGGGUGCUCAGGCGGAUUUGUAAGUCAGAGGUGAAAUCUUACAGCUUAACUGUGAAACUGCCUUUGAUACUGCAAGGCUAGAGUAUGGAAGAGAGUGAUGGAAUAUCUGGUGUAGCAGUGAAAUGCGUAGAUAUCAGAUAGAACACCAAUGGCGAAGGCAGUCACUUGGUCCAUUACUGACGCUAAAGCACGAAAGCGUGGGUAGCAAACA